rnacentral:rRNA from 1 species
AUGACCACGGCUCCUCUCCAAGCUCUCUCCUCUGCCCUCGUCCUCUUGCUCCUCGCGCAGCACGCGCGCACGGCGAGGGCGAGCGCGCUAGAGGACACGUGCAGGCUCGUCGGCACCGGCGGGACGCAGGACUACGACUUCUGCGUGAAGACGCUGGGGGCGGACCCGGCGAGCGCGACGGCCGACGAGCUCGGCCUGGCCGUCAUCGCGUUGAGGAUGGCCAGGGCGACCGCCAAGGCCACCGGCGACCGCAUCGCCACGCUGCGGGCCGCCGAGACGUCGCCCCGGCGGCGGCUGGCCCUGGACGAGUGCGCCAAGGAUUACACCUGGACCGUGCGCCGGCUGGGGCGCGCCGCCAAGGACUUUGCCACGGGCGGGGACGAGGACAGGCUGACGGAGUCGGAGGCGACCACCUUGCUGGGGACGUUCGUGACACGCCGGCGCGCUGCGACAAGGCGUUCGUCCUCUAGGCCGGCGAGAGGUCGCCGCUGA